UUCCCAGCCAGGCUCCUGGCUAAAAUACAGCUUUUAGCUGUAUUUAGUCAAAGCCUGGCUGUAAA
rfam:Mesocricetus auratus contig191299, whole genome shotgun sequence.